rnacentral:rRNA from 1 species
AGGGAAUAUUGCAAAAUGGGCGAAAGCCCGAUGCAGCAACGCCGCGUGGGCGAUGAAGGCCUUCGGGUCGUAAAGCCCUUUUUGAGGGGAUGAGGAAGGACAGUACCCUCAGAAUAAGCCUCGGCUAACUACGUGCCAGCAGCCGCGGUAAAACGUAGGAGGCGAGCGUUAUCCGGAUUUACUGGGCGUAAAGCGCGUGCAGGCGGAUUGGAGAGUUGGAUGUGAAAGCUCCCGGCUUAACUGGGAGAGGUCGUUCAAUACUUCCAGUCUUGAGUGCAGUAGAGGGAAGUGGAAUUCCGGGUGUAGUGGUGAAAUGCGUAGAUAUCCGGAGGAACACCAGUGCCGAAAGCGGCUUCCUGGACUGUAACUGACGCUCAGACGCGAAAGCUAGGGUAGCAAACG